rnacentral:sRNA from 1 species
UUUUACCUCCUUUGGCUGCAAUGUAAUCUUUCAUACAUUUGAAUGUUUCUAGCCAUUAAUGGUUCAAGUGUUGCUGUUUUUUCACAUAUCACAUACAUUAAAAUAGUAUGAGGAUGCAAUCUAAAUAUGUAUGAACUUAGUGAUUUAUUUGAAAUAGAUAUUUUUUCUUCCAUCGGAAGUAAUUUUGAGCCAUAUAUUUAAAUCAAAUUCAAAUUACAACUGUAAAACUAAGAAAUGAUCUCUGAUGUUGUGUUUUAGAUAUUUUUGGUCUCUAUAUUAAUCUUUAAUUCUCACUGUACUGUGUAUAUGGUAUUGCAAUUUUUUUAAAAAAAUGAAUUUUUCACUCACAACACUCUAGACUUUAAGCAUAAUAUUAAGGUUUGUUGAAUAAAAUAUUAAAAAAU